UACUAGAGUAGCACUCGCAUAUCAAUAAGCGGAGGAAAAGAAACUAACAAGGAUUCCCCUAGUAACGGCGAGUGAAGCGGGAAGAGCUCAAAUUUGAAAUCUUAAAGGGUUUCCCUUUACGAAUUGUAGUUUAAAGAAGUGUUCUCUGUUGAGGUUUUGGUAAAAGUUCUUUGGAAUAGGACAUCAUAGAGGGUGAGAAUCCCGUAUUUGACCUUUACUUUCAACUUUGUGAUACACUUUCAAAGAGUCGGAUUGUUUGGGAAUGCAGUCCAAAAUGGGUGGUAAAUUUCAUCUAAAGCUAAAUAUUGGCGAGAGACCGAUAGCGAACAAGUACCGUGAGGGAAAGAUGAAAAGAACUUUGAAAAGAGAGUUAAACAGUACGUGAAAUUGUCAAAAGGGAAGCGUUUGACACCAGUGUUGUUUUUCUGAAAAUCAAUUAAAGAACUGUUUAUGCUAAGCUGUUUAGACUUUAUCAGCUAUCUGUUUAGUUUUGAGCUUUUCUUUAAUGCACUUUUCAGUUAACAAGUCAACAUCAAUUUCUUUUGCUGUAAAAAAGCUUGAGGAAGGUGGCUUGAGAUUCGUCUUAAGUGUUUAUAGCCUCUUGCCUAUGCAGUCGGAGAGAUUGAGGUCUGCAGCGUAGAUCCUUCGGGGCUAAAUGCAUUUGUGCUAAGUUAUAGCAUUUUAUAGACAACUUGUUGACUAUGAUUUGUCUUGUAGCUUACUCGCUUAUGUUAUUUUACCUACGCUUAGGAUGUUGAGCGCAUGUCUCUCUCU
rnacentral:rRNA from 1 species